UACGUAGGCAGCAAGCGUUGUUCGGAGUUACUGGGCGUAAAGGGUGUGUAGGCGGUUCUUUUAAGUUUGGUGUGAAAUCUCCCGGCUCAACUGGGAGGGUGCGCCGAAUACUGAGGGACUAGAGUACGGGAGAGGAAAGUGGAAUUCCUGGUGUAGCGGUGAAAUGCGUAGAUAUCAGGAGGAACACCGGUGGUGUAGACGGCUUUCUGGACCGUAACUGACGCUGAGACACGAAAGCGUGGGUAGCAAACAGG
rnacentral:rRNA from 1 species